rnacentral:lncRNA from 1 species
ACGGAGACAGAAUUGAAACUAUCUGAUAUAUUUUUAAUAAUUGGUCACUUCUCAAGUAUGAGAAAUUGGUACAAUCAGGUAUAUAAAAUUGAGAAAAGAAGAAGAAACGAGAUAGAUGAGACAGAGAGAAUAUUCAGAGAGAAGAAUCACAUAAGCCACCUAUUUCUUACCCUUACCCUUCAAUUCUCUUCCCUUUUAAUAUUCCCCUCACACAUAGUCCCUAAACCUUCUGUUAGCUAUCUUUUUCCUAUUUCCUCUCCUCAAUCCCACGUGCUUUUGAUUUGUUGUAACCAACUCUGGUAUCUCUCUCUUUGUUGUUAAAUCAGCCAUAUCAUGUGCAUUGCCAGGUGGCACGCCUAUUACAUUGUCGUCCCCUUUAAAAUGAACCUUGUCCGCAAGGUUAAAAUGUGGGUAACUAGCUUGUAAUUCAGCAGCAACUUCCCAUGUUGCCUCCGCAGGACUGCACCCUUCCCAUUGAAUCAAGACUUGAGGAACUAAAGUAGAACCUUGGACAAUUGUUCUACUGUCAAGCACAGCAGUUGGCCACAAAAUUUGUCCUAACUCAGAUGUGUGGAGAGGAAGUGGAAUGUAUGCCUCUGCAGCAGCUCCACGAAAUGGUUUGAGUUGGGAUACAUGAAACACCGGGUGUAUUUUAGCGUGAUCAGGUAGCUGCAACUUAUAUGCCACAGCCCCAAUUCUGCGCAGCACAGUGAAAGGACCAAAAUAGCGCAAGGAUAAUUUAUUGUUCUUCCUGAGAGCUGCUGAGUGUUGUCUAUAUGGCUGUAGUUUAACCAACACCGCAUCCCCAACCUCAAAUUGUCGGUCCUGUCUCUUUUUGUCGGCCUGAAUUUUCAUAACAGUUUGGGCCUUAAGUAAAUUGCUUUUCAAUGUCGUUAGUAGCAGUUCUCUGUUUCCUAGUAAUUCCUGUAUGUUUGGAGGAUCCUGAGAGUUGACAGAGUAGCGCAAUAAAGCUGGGGGUUCCCGACCAUACAAUGCCUGAAAAGGAGUCAUGCCCAAACUAGUGUGAAAGGAGGUAUUAUACCAGAAUUCUGCCCAAACCAGCAACUUCGCCCAGGUCUUUGGAUUAUCAAAUGUAAAACAACGCAAGUACAUUUCCAAGCAUUUGUUAAGAGCCUCAGAUUGUCCAUCCGUUUGAGGAUGAUACGCAGAACUCAUUGCCAAUGUCGUACCUUGUAACUUGAAAAGGUGUUUCCAGAAAUCACUUGUGAAAACCUUAUCUCUAUCUGAAACAAUUGACUUUGGAACCCCAUGCAACUUAACUAUAUGCAACAUAAAAGCUUCAGCCACACUUUUACUCGAAUAAUCAGAUUUCAUGGCAAUAAAAUGACUAUAUUUAGUCAAUCGAUCAAUCACUACCAUGAUAACAGUGAAACCAUGAGAGUUAGGUAACCCAGUUAUAAAGUCCAUAGCAACAUCAUCCCAUACCUGAGCAGGAAUUGGCAGUGGUUGUAAGAACCCAGCAGGUAAAGUAUGUUCAGUUUUUGCCUGUUGACAGAUGGUGCAAGUGGUGACGAAUUUCCUGACAUCAUCACGGAGAUUAGGCCAAAAAAAUUGGGCAGAAAUGCGAGCCACUGUACGCGCAAUGCCGGAGUGACCACCAAGUGGGGAACUAUGAUAUUCCCCUAGCACUUGUUGAAUAAGCGGACUCUUGGAAGGUAACACCAAUCGUCCUUUCCAAUAUAAGAGACCCCCUUUGAUAGUGUAUGGAGACCCCAUUCGAGGCGCAUUGAGGCACUCUGAGAUGAUGGAUUGGAGAUGUUCAUCUUGCAAAAGUUCGUGUUUCAAGUCAUCUAUCAAGUGAAAUUGUGGUUCAGACCAAGCCAUAAGGAACACUCGGGAUAAUGCAUCAGCAGCAAUAUUAUCUUUACCAGGCUUGUACUCAAUCUGAAAAUCAUACCCAACGAACUUAUGCAACCAAGCUUGCUGCUCCGGAGUUUGGAGUGAUUGAUCCAAAAGAUUCCUCAAACUCUUUUGAUCAGUUCGGAUGAUAAAUUUGUGUCCUAACAAAUAAUGUCGGAAUUUUGCCAAUGCUGAUGUGAUAGCAAGAAACUCUCUGGUGUAUGCAGAUUGCUUUUUCAUCCGGGGAGCCAAUUUCUUGGAGAAAUACGCAAUGGGGUGGCCAUUUUGACUUAACACUGCCCCAAUGCCAAUCCCAGAAGCAUCGGUUUCAAGAACAAAAGGUUGAGUAAAAUUCGGUAAGGCCAAUACAGGGGCGGAAGUAAUUACCUGUUUCAGUUUCAUGAAAGCUUGGUCAGCAGCUGUCGUCCAACAAAAUGAGUCUUUCUUCAACAGAUCAGUUAAGGGACCUGCAAUCAUGGCAUAUGAUUUAAUAAAUCGACGGUAAUAACCAGUUAAACCAAGAAAGCCCCGUAAUUGUUUGACUAACAUAGGUUGUGGCCACUCUAACACAGCUUGAAUUUUGCCAGUUUCCAUGGCCACGCCAUUACCCGAAACUGUAUGCCCCAGGUAUUCCACCUCAAGUAAUCCAAAAGAACACUUUGAAAGUUUAGCAAAUAAGACAUGUUGUUGUAGUGUUUGCAAAACUGACUCCAAAUGGCACAAGUGAGCAGUCCAAGAAGGGCUAUAAACAAGAAUGUCGUCGAAGAAGACAAGCACAAAUUUUCGUAACUCCUUCCCAAAAAUUGUGUUCAUCAAACAUUGAAAAGUGGCUGGUGCAUUAGUGAGGCCGAAUGGCAUAACAAGCCACUCGUAAUGACCAUGAUGCGUCCGAAAAGCGGUCUUAUAGCGAUCUUCCUGCUGGACUAAAAUUUGAUGGUAACCGGAUCGAAGAUCAAGUUUAGAGAAAUAUUUAGCACCAUAUAAUUCAUCCAAUAACUCAUCCACUGUUGGCAUAGGAAAGCUGUCCUUAAUAGUGAUGGCAUUUAAAGCACGAUAGUCAGUACAAAACCUCCAUUGACCAUCUUUCUUUUUAACCAAUACAACAGGAGAAGAAAAAGGGCUAGUGCUAGGUUGAAUAAUACCUUGAUCCAACAUGUCUUGGACCAUCUUGUCGAUUUGCUCUUUCUGACUAUGAGGAUACCUAUAUGGCCGCACUUUGACAGGCUUGGCAUCAGGAAGCAAAGGAAUAGCAUGAUUCUGGUCACGAUCAGGAGGUAGACCCGUCGGGGUUUGGAAGACCACACGAUAUGUAUGCAACAACUGUGCUAUCGCUGGAUCAAUAUCCACAGAUAAUGAAGGGAGAAUAUCAACAUCUGUAGGCAGUAUGUGGACAGCAAAACUCUCGGAAAUUGCACUAGUUUCCUGUAAGCGUUUGAGUUGGUGAAAGUGGGCAUGAGUAGGAGGAUUGGAAGCCUCUCCCUGCAAGGUAACAAAUUUUCCCUGGUGAAAAAAACGGAGAAACAAAGCGGCAUAAUCAGCCACAUGAGGUCCUAACGUUGCGAGCCACGAGGCCCCCAAAAUCAAGUCAGCUCCGGAAACUGGCAGUACAUAUAUCGGAACAAGCAAGUCUUGUCCCUGAAUGGAAACCUUCAAGUUGCUAAUCCAGCCUUAUGUUUCCAUGUGUUGGCCAUUGCCCACCAAAACCUUGAAACUAGGCUUGGGCUCAAUAGGCAACUUGAGAAACUUUGCAAUUCUGGGUUGCAGAAAACUGUCAGAGCUUCCGCCAUCCACUAAAAUUUGUACUGAGAUAUUACCAAUUUGGCCAGUAAAUCGAAUGGUGCCCACCCCAGUGGAGCCUCGCAUUGCAUUUAGUGAGAGGUGAUGAUCCCCGGGUGGUAAUUCAUCCGAAACAUUAGAUAUAUCAGGCUGGUUGGUCUCUUCGUCCAAAUCAUUAUAAUCAGAAAGUUGUAACAACAUGAGGUACUUGUUAGGGCACUUGUGAUUGAAUGAGAAUUUGUCAUCACACCAAUAACACAAUCCUUUCUCCCUCCUAAGUUCCAUUUCCGCUGGGGAAAUAUAUUUAACUUUCCGAUUAGGGUGGUUGUGGUGUAAAGGUUUAGUAGCAGGUGUUGGUAAUAAUGGUGGGAGGUUAGCUUUGGAAUUAGUGUUAGGGACCUCAAUUUUGGUUACAGUGGAAGUAGGUUUCUGGUAUGGAAAGUUUGUGUGGGAGAUUUUGGAGUGGGGAAUGGAGAAUUUUGGUUUGCUACUUGGUUGAUACCGUUCUUCAAACAGCUUGGCUAAUGCCACAGCUUUGGCCAAAUGAGUGGGAGACAUAGCUCGUACAUCCCUGCAAAUAUCUUCAUUAAGACCACUAAGAAAACAGUCCAACAAUGCAUCAGAGCUCAACCCAUCGACACGGUUAGCUAAUGCAGUGAAUUCCAAAUAAUACUCACCCACAGUACCUGUUUGCAUAAGCUUAAACAAAAUAGAUCGGGGACAUUCAUACACAGAAGGACCAAAAUCGAGCUCAAGAGCAGCAGUAAAAGCAUCCCAUGUCUGAAAGGGAUUUGCACGGUGAAGCAUCUGGAACCAUGGAAUCACCUCUUGGUCAAGAUGCACCGAUGCAAUUGUCAAUCGAUCAUGAUCAGGGGUGUCAUAAUAAUUGAAAAAUUGUUCUGCCCUAAAAAUCCAGUCCCGCACAUUCUUCCCAUCAAAACGAGGAAAAUCUAGCUUAACCGGUCGCACCUGAAACGGAGGUUUCUGAGAGCUCGAACCAACAUGUUGAGAACCUGGGGAAUGCGUUUGGCGCUGCAACAAAGUGGCCAAUGCUUCAGUGAUCUGCUUGAACUUCGCAUCAGUGGCCUCCUGCAUCGUGUCGAUUUUUGAUUGCAGAUCGGUGUAAUUUUUCUCAACCAAAUCAGCAUUCCUUUUGACCUCAGCUUGAAGCUCCUUGAGGCGUGUGUUCUCUGCCAUGUUGUGAUGAAAGCACCAAUGAAAUGGUUACCCAGUGAACGGAGACAGAAUUGAAACUAUCUGAUAUAUUUUUAAUAAUUGGUCACUUCUCAAGUAUGAGAAAUUGGUACAAUCAGGUAUAUAAAAUUGAGAAAAGAAGAAGAAACGAGAUAGAUGAGACAGAGAGAAUAUUCAGAGAGAAGAAUCACAUAAGCCACCUAUUUCUUACCCUUACCCUUCAAUUCUCUUCCCUUUUAAUAUUCCCCUCACACAUAGUCCCUAAACC